CGUAAAGCGCAUGCAGGUGGUUUGUUAAGUCAGAUGUGAAAGCCCGGGGCUCAACUCGGAAUUGCAUUUGAAACUGGCAAACUAGAGUACUGUAGAGGGGGUAGGAAUUUCAGGUGUAGCGGUGAAAUGCGUAGAGAUCUGAAGGAAUACCGGUGGCGAAGGCGGCCCCCUGGACAGAUACUGACACUCAGGUACUGCGAAAGCGUGGGGAGCCAAACAGGAUUAGAUACCCUGGUAG
rnacentral:rRNA from 1 species